ACCGUGUUGGCCAGGAUGGUCUCUAUCUCCUGACCUCAGGAUCUGCCUGCCUCAGCCUCCCAAAGUGCUGGGAUUACAGGCAUGAGCCACCGCACCCAGCCAAGGAUUAUUUAAGUAGAUUGAAUGGUAGUCCCCCAAAAGAUGCGUCCACUUGUGAAUGGUACCUUAUUUGGAUAAAGGGUCUUUGCGAAGGUAAUUAAAUCAAGGAUGUUGAGAUGAGAUCAUUCUGAAUUAGGAUGGACUCCAAAUCCAGUGACAAGUUUCCUCAGAAGAGUGAAAGAUGUGAAGAUAGAGGCAGAAAUUAGACUAAUGAAUCUCCAAACCAAAAUAUACCAAGGACUGCCAGCAGCUAGUGGAGAAACAUGGAACAGAUUCUCCUUCAGAGCUUCCAGAAACAAUGAACACUACCAAUACCUUGAUUUGAGACUUAGUCUUCCAGAAUUAUGAAAGAAUAAAAUUACUGCUGUUCUAAACCACCAAAUUUGUGGUAAUUUGUUACAGUAGGCCUAG
rnacentral:lncRNA from 10 species